UACGAAGGGGGCUAGCGUUGUUCGGAAUUACUGGGCGUAAAGCGCACGUAGGCGGCUUGGUAAGUUGGGGGUGAAAUCCCGAGGCUCAACCUCGGAAUUGCCUUCAAGACUGCUUGGCUUGAGUUCGGAAGAGGUGAGUGGAAUUCCCAGUGUAGAGGUGAAAUUCGUAGAGAUUGGGAAGAACACCAGUGGCGAAGGCGGCUCACUGGUCCGAUACUGACGCUGAGGUGCGAAAGCGUGGGGAGCAAACAGG
rnacentral:rRNA from 1 species